GUCGGCCGCCCCGGGCCAAGGCCCAUGUUUAGCAAAUGUUGGCGGCCUCCUCCCUUAUACGUGGCUUAUACGUAUUGGUUGUGCCAGCGUUUUGGACAGCGAGGAAAAGGAAAGAAGGGCUUCAGAGAGGAAGACCUAGCAGUCGGGUGUUGGCUGUGGGUUCCGGUUUUGGGCUGCUCUAGGAGAAGAGGGAGGUAGAGGUGAGGUAGGUGUCUCUCGUUCCGUCCGUUAGCGCAGCGCGCAGUGGUGGCAGCUAGGGGGGCAGGCAGCUCCAUACUCUGUCCUCCGGCGGUCGGACCACUAGUGGGUGCUUCUGCUGGCCGUCGUGGUGGUGUCGGCGGGCGGCGGAGGGCUGCUCCUCCUCCUCCUGUGCCCGCGGCACCGGGGCGGCAGGACGCGCUGUUAGGACGACGCCGCCCUCCCGCCGCUCCGGCUCCGCCCCCUUCCGCUCCUCGGCGACGUCGACCAGGGCGGCGAGUUGAAGCGCUACCACCUGGUCCCGCACAUGGCGAGGCCCAAGGGCCUGCGGAGGUUGGACGGGAAGGAGCUCUGGGAGGCGGAGGCGAGGCAGGACACGGAGACGGGCCUCGGCAUGGGCCUCCGGUUGGUCCUCAAGGAGGCACGGGCGCCCUAGUCCGAGAAGGUUGAGCCUUAGCUGCCGAGGUUCCAAUUACGUUUAGGGAAGAGGAAUACCCGUACCCGUAGGAACCGAUUUGGAGGAGCUUCCAAACGGGAAACUCUUAAAACGAUAUAGUACGAAUAAGAACUAGGCUUCUUUACAUUCGUUCACUCUUUUCUCCCCCCUAUUGUACCCGAUAGUUGAGAUUGAUCGAUUUGAAGUAGCUUCGAAACGGGAAACCAGAAGAGAAAAAGAGUGAACGUAUACGAAAGAACGAACAGGCUUCUUUAUUUUAGUUUUGCCAUUCGCUCAUUCCUUUCUACCCUAGUUUGUACAGAUAAUUGAGGCAAAGUAUUAAGAACAGUACCAAAAUUGAUUUUGGUGCCGCCCUUAAUACCUUGCCUCCCUCAUCAUAAUACUAAAACACUAAUCAGUAUCUAAGAAGCAGUGUGCCAUCACUACCAACGUUACCAAGAUAGAAGAGCUUAGAAGAGGUAUCAUGAACACACGCCCGUGUAGUAUACGGAAGGCACCCUAACACUUCACCUCAACGGAACAGGUUCAACUCGAAGAGGUAUAUGCGAAAUCGACUUUCGCGGAGAGAUGGUUUAAUAUAUAGCCUACUUCGAAGUUGUAAAAAAGAUUAAUCUGUCUACUGAACAUAAAGACUGGGCUGUCUUAUCGACCUAUAGAUCAAAUUUACAGGUGACAGCUCAUGAACAACCGAAUUGCUUCCAACCUAAAAUCCCCUGAUUUAAAUAUACUAUACAAUAACAUCAUCGUGUGAUACGCGGUUCCUGACAAGAAAAAUGGGGAGAUAACACAUAAGGAUUGAUUGGCUAUAUUUUUUUUAACUUAUGGAACCUGGUAACAACUCCUUUAGCAAUUGGCUAUCAACGAGCUAUCCGACCGCUCGUCCCCUAAUUAUCCGAUUAGCCGUUCAAUUAGUUAAUUAGCCAGCUAAAUAAUCAAAUAGCCAAUGUGUCACUGGAAUGUUCAUCCCUAAUUAGCCAGUAAAUUGACCAAUUAGCCGAUUUAAGAACUUGUCCUGGAACCUCGUUAUUGUAAUAGUCAACCGGUACAUAUUUUGUGAUGUUUACGAUCUUCUUAUUUCACAACUUAAACUCUUUGAACAACCUUAAGUCUAAACUCACCAGUUAAGCCGUUAUCCUGUGUGUUUAUUGUGAACUUUAGGUGGAGUACCACAACCUGGGAUUGUGUCUAAGUCCAGCAAACUUGUCGUUGUUGUUUUUUAACUCAGAUACUGGGAUUUUACGAGUUUAAUACUAGAACAAAGAUUGAUCUAUAACGAGAAAAUAAUGCUCGACUACUGUUGGUAGACUUUGGAAGUGACAAUACAACGAGUCAACAACAUCAGGAAUCCAUAAAACACAAUAUGAAGAAACCCAACGUAAAACACAUUACUAUGUGUUAAAUACGAAUCUUAAGUCCGUACCAUGAAGAGUUUUCCGUUCAUAAAAAUAGAAGGAACAGAAAAACGUACCUCAUAAAAAUAGAAGGAUUAAUUGGUUUGCUGAACACAUACAGCAGUUUUGUAGAACUUCCAUGUCGUUCCAUCCAAAAACGAGGUUGACUUACUCAUUUGACCAUUUUCUGGAAGGAAAGGUGGCCUCGUCUUUAUAAUAACAGUAAAUAUCAAAGAGCUAUACAAAUUACUAAAAUAAAACAGUGGUGGUCAUCUUUUAGUUAUUUGUGAGUAUAUGUUCGUAUAUACCAAGUAUAGAGUUAACAUAUUUUAACAACAAGAAAAAAAGAAGGAAAUAAGUCACCUCGAAAGUUUAAAUUCCCUUAUUGAACUCCACACAGAAAAAUAGUUCGGUUGCUCCGGUGUGAGAAAUAGUCAAUCUUCAUAAUCGCAACGUUAGGGCACUUCACCCAAUUCCCGUGUACUUUCCACUUGUACACCGUGCCUUUUUACCUUAGCCUAAGAAAAUAGACCUAACCCAACAAAUAAAACGUGAAACCGCUACGUGGAAUUUUUAUAACGUGCUAACUAGUAAUCUCUUUCAAGUCUAGUCUGACUAUAAAUUGUUAAGUGGAAUAUUCUUACUUUACCGUAUGUGUGAGAAAUGAUUGACUAUUGAAUCUGGUCUCUUCUCUUGGUCUUAGAUCGAAGAUUUUCCGUGACCCAUUGAACGAUGAGGGAGGCAAGGAUUUAUAAACAGAAAGAUCUCUAAAGUUGUUUACUGAUGUAUGCCUCAUUUUACUCAUUUAGAUGUGAGAUUUUAUACAGAUAUAUGUAAGCAUACACCAUCAGGUAAACUUUAGAUUUUUCUGUUUAUAAAUCCUGGCCUCCCUCAUCUACCGUAAAUGUCAUAUUCUUUCGUCGAACUUCAACCAGUAAAAGAAGGAAAACAGCAUCGUCAAGAUAGUAAAUAGAAGUAAAAAAGAGAACAAUGGUUUCUAAACGGUGUUUCACCGUAAAAAGUAAAAGUCCUCGAAUGACUUUUACCUACAACGAAAGUCCUUGGGAAACACUCGUAAGGGCUUCUGUGUUAGGCGCUCCGAGACUUUCAACAAGAUCUGUGUUCUUUGGUGGGCCACGAAUAAGUGACGUUCGCACCUUUCGUAGCUUGACCGACACAACAACCUACGAACUCCUUUGACGUCGCGACCACAGAUUGUAGUCAUAAACUGCUUAUGGUCGCAAAACGACGACGCUUUCGUUCUCAAAGACUAGAUUCCAAAUAACUCGAUAAGCUGUAGAGUUCGAAUUUCGUAAAUGGUCGCAGAAAGAGUACAACUCGUUCUUCGCAUGUAGUCGCCGGAGACCCCCGGGUCUAACCGUAAAGAAAGGGCAUAGAUCAUUGUACCGGCUAUUCUUAUUGACAACUAAGAGUUUUUUUUUUGACAAUUAUGAUGAAAACUAAGACAAAAACCGAGUGCUUAGUACUUCAACUGGGACUGUUCAAUUUGUAACAUUUAGUAAAAACUUCGAUACCAUCUAUAAUCUAUCCGGCGUACUCAAUAUAAGAGUGGCAACGACGUAAAUAGUAUACAAACGACCGUAAUACAUUCGUACAUUAUUAUCAGACAUUAAUACAAUACAACAUAUGAUUUAUUUUGAGUCAGACCGUUCGUUUGGAACACAAUAUAGACCAUAAUAGUUAACCUAGACAGGUCAAAAACCG
rnacentral:rRNA from 1 species